UACGAAGGGUCCAUGCGUUAAUCGGAAUUACUGGGCGUAAAGCGCGCGUAGGUGGUUCGUUAAGUUGGAUGUGUAAGCACCGGGCUCAACCUGGGAACUGCAUCCAAAACUGGCGAGCUAGAGUACGGUAGAGGGUGGUGGAAUUUCCUGUGUAGCGGUGAAAUGCGUAGAUAUAGGAAGGAACACCAGUGGCGAAGGCGACCACCUGGACUGAUACUGACACUGAGGUGCGGAAGCGUGGGGAGCAAACAGGAUUAGAUACCCCCGUAGUCC
rnacentral:rRNA from 1 species